GGGCCUCCACCCCGCCCCGCCCAGGAUCUUCCCGGGAUUGGCUGAGCUCCGCGACCUCUCCAGGGAUGGGCUGCGCGCCCCGCCCUCGCCCAGAUCUUCCCGGGAUUGGCUGCGCGCCCCGCGGCCCUCCCCUUUCCGCCCCGCCCCGCGCCGCCUCUCCGGUUUGUGCGCCUGGUGCAGGUCUCCGGCCUCUUUGUCCGCUGGAGUUGCGCGGGCGGACGCGCCACUACUUUGUAGCAGAUCUCAGGUGGGCCACAUGUGCGGCGGUAGGAACCCAACCCCGGCCGACCUUGAGCUCCAGGAGUUCGUCUCUCCUACGUCUGCGGAAGUGCGGCGGCCUCAUAAAUAGCAAAGGUUGACAACUACAGGUACAAGCCAUUGAAGCUAGGAUGUCCUGAUGCUGGUAUUUCAAUUGAUUUAGACCAACUAUCCCUUCAGUUACAAUACGAAAAUGCCUCUAAUAGGAGUACUAAGUUGUAGCAACCACGUGUCCAUGCAGUGCCACAGGAGCUAGAGCAGGGACAAGGCUGGUGGCAACAGGGUGUUUCAUGCUCAUCUUUUAAUUUAAUUCUCAUAAUUCGGAGGUUGAUUUUGUUCUCCCAUUUCACAUGUAAAGAAAUGGAUUGGGGUAAAUCAAGUUUCAUAAAAUGUGAGUAUUUCCGAAUAAGAGGCGUCACGUGACUUCUGGAAAGUCACUUGUCUCUUGAGAUUUGGUGUCUUGGUGUAACAGUUAAAAGAAUUUAAGCAAACUAGGAAAGGACCACGGUAGAGCAGUUAAGAAUAUAAGCUCUUCGUAUUCAUUGCAUUGAACCUAAGAAGGUUCACAAAAUUGGGCACAAAAGAGAGUAUGUGUCAGCAUAUUAUGUUUGUGUGUGUGUGUGUGUGUAGCAUAAGGAAGUGUAAGGGGAUUUAAAAGGACACAGUGGUGCUACGUUCUUAGAAUAUGAAAGUUUUGGAGGUGAUGAAAAGUUUUCAUGUGGGAGGAAACAGUCAAGCAAGUUCACUCCUAUUAACCAGUCUGCUGCCUGUCUAGCAAUUGAGGUCUCAUUACUCUGUCAGAAGUGACUCAUUCUCCAGAACUUCUAAAUAAAAGUAUUUAAUAUUUAUCUUGGAGUCAUUCUUAAUUCAUAGCAUUGUUCUUGCCUUUUAUCUAAACUUUUACAUUCCCUAUUGCAAAGUCUACCCUCAUAAGUCUAGGUAAUUGCUCAUAAGUUUAGAUAUAAUAUUGAAUUGUAAUCCCCAGUGUUGGAGGAGGGGCCUGGUGGGAGGUGAUAGGAUCAAAAGGGUGGGUUUCCUUUUUGCUGUUUUUGUGAUAGUGAUUUCUCACAAGAUGUAAUUUAGAUGUGAAGUGCUCUGGGGCAGUGUCUCAUGCCUGUAAUCCCAAUAAUUUUGAAGGCCAGGGUGGGAGGAUCACUUGAGGCCAGGAGUUGAAGACUAUCUUGGGCAGUAUAGUAAGACCUUGUCUCUACAAAAAACGAGGCAGUAUUGCUUGAGCCCAGGUGGUCAAGGCAAUGGUGAGCCAUGAUUUUGCCGCUGCACUCCUGCCUAAGUGACAGUGAGACCCUGCCUCAAAAACUAAUGAAAGUAAAGGUUAUGCAAUUGUGCAACAUGUCUCAAGGCAGAGGCAGAAGAAAGUUCAGAUUAAAUGUGUAGCACCUCCCCCUACUUCCUCCUGCUCUGACCAUGUGCAUCCUCUUAGUUAUCCCUCAUGAUAAGUUUCCUGAAGCCUCCACAGCCAUGCUCCCUGUAGAGCCUACUGAACCAUGAGACAAUUAAACCUUUACUUUAUACAUAACCCGGUCUCAGUUCUUUAUAGCAAUGUGAGCACAGACCAGUACAAAAAAUAUAUAAAAGUGUUAACUAGCCAUAAUUGCUAAGGGAGGAAGGGAGAAGAAAAGAGACAGUGCAUGUGUUUGCAGUGAAUGGGAGGCAUUUAAGAACAUGGCCAGCAAGGGAGGCCUCACUCAACGAGGAAGAGCUGAGGGAGAUGCCAUGGCCUUAUAUAUAGUUGAUGGAAGAGCACUCUAGGAAGACAGAUGGAAAACAAGUGCAAAGGCCCCGAGUUGUGUUUCAGGGUUUGUAGAAGCAAAGUGAAGCUGUAGAGAAGUGCCCUUAAUGGGAGAAGGACAUGUCUGUAUCUAGUGGUGGAGAGGUGGUUUUCAAAUUAUUGUAAAAUGUUAACGUGCCUCUGGCCUUCAGGGCGCUGAUUGUUUAACUGGAAUGCUCCCUAUUUCCUUACACUUUGCUGCUCUUAACCUGACUUUUCUCUGACCACCAUCAGCCCUUCCUAAAUGCCCUUGACUUUCUUCAGCAUCCCGUAAUGGCCCUGUAACCUCAGAACUACAUUGUGCAUUGCCUGUGAACUUGCCUAACUGCCUCUGCUUCUCCAUUCUGUAAAGUCCACCUUGGUUCUCAUCAUUAUGGUCUAGUCAGGUGCAAUUCAGUUUGAUAGCAGUAAUUGCACUAUUGAGUUGGAUUUAUAUAUAGCAUUCAAGUAAGUGGCUUACAGUCCCCUUCUAACGGCAGCAUAAUGUUGAGCCUAGGUUCAAAUCUCUUUAUGUAUGUUUUUUUUUUUUUUUUUUAAGACUGGGUUUUGCUCUUGUUCCCCAGGCUGGAGUGCAGUGGUGCAGUCUUGGCUCACUGCAAACUCAGCCUCCCAAGUAGCUGGGAUUACAGGCACUGGCCACCAUGCCAGCUAAUUUUUAGUAGAGACACGGUUUCACCAUGUUGGCCAGGCUGGUCUCAACCUCAUGACCUCAGGUGAUCCACCCUCCUCACCCUCCCGGUGCUGCCGCCCACUCGUGGAGGGGAUGGACUGAACAACAGAAGACCAUGGACAAGGUAAGGUCCCAGGACCCCACCCCAGGCAGGCCCAUCUCCAGAUGGAAGGGGAGCCUGAUCACCACCCAGGGUCUCCACAGGGAGACCACAGGUAGACUCUCUGGGCUAGGGAGGAAAUGUAAUAAAUUCUGUGUGAGUGAGUGAAUGUGGAAUUCAAGGGCUUGUCCUUGAUUUUCCAGUCUGGCUCCACUAUGAAAAUUGCAAGUGGGCCCUCACUUGCAAUUCUGUAGUGACCUCAUAAGGCUUAGGGCAGCAUUGGGCCAGGCUCAAGCCCAGUCCUGCCUGCCAAUGCUAAGAGGCUCCUAAAGUUCCUACGAGGGACACAGCCAGGUGGGCACCUGAGUGGUCCCUAACAAGACAACCCCUCCCUUCAGACUGUCUCAUGCCACGGGUCAAGGAGAGGACAUAAGUCAUGGGGAAGGGCCAAUCAAAACCCACCAUCCUAGACUGUAUGAUCAAAAACUUCAGGAAGGGCUUCUGUGGAGAUUCUGGGGUAAAAAUGACUCCAGGGAAACUAAAAACCAUUUGUGAGGUGGAAUGGCUAACAUUCAAUGUUGGCUGGCCAUCUGAGGGGACCUUAGAUGUUACCCACAUUAAGAGCUGUUUGGAAGGCUGUUACUGGCAGUCCUGGACACCCAGAUCAAUUCCCUUACAUUGACUCCUAUUAGAAGUAGCUCAGCCUCUUCCAUCCUGAGUUCGAUUCUGCACGGUUAGAAAGGGACAAUGUAAGGUUUUCGUGGCUCAAGUUACCAAAGGACCCAGAAAACCCAUCCACCAAGGCAACCCUGAGGAGGAGCUUCCACCAUCACCCUACAUCCCCCCCGACAGCCCCAUCGGCCCCCACUCCCCUGAGCUUGCCUGAGACACUCCCAUGUUGGUGGAAACCACGGAGGCCAGUGCCCUGGGACUCCCCUCGCCAGAGGCUUAUGGUCUUCUCAACCGGCCCUUCAAAUGCCUCUAUGGGAGAUUCGAGGCCCCUCCACAGGAAUGGAUGAUGGGACAAUUGACCCUGGGAGGCCCAUUCUCUAUUACCAACCCUUCAGUAUCACAGACCUCCUGAACAGGAAACACCAUACUUCGGCAUAUUUGGAGAAGCCCCAAGCCCUAGUUGACCUUCUGGAAUCCAUCUUCCAGAUGCAUCAGUCCACUUGGGAUGACUGCCACCAGCUCCUCUUCACACUCUUCAAUACAGAGGAGUGGAGACAUUAUUUUAACCGAGGCACAAAAGUGGUUUGAAGGGCAGGCCCCAGUGAGAGCCCUUGACAGGCUGAUGGGCAGUAGAAGCAUUGCCAGAUAUUAAGCCAAAUUGGGACUUUAAUAGUGAGGCAGGGAGGGUCUCCCUUCAAUGCUACUGGGAGGCUCUCCUCAGAGGAGUCUAGGAAGGGGCAAGGGAGCCGACCAACAUGUCAAAAACCGCAGCACUCACUCAAAAGCCAGAUGAGUCCCCCGGUGACUUCUGUGAGGCAUUUUGGGAGGCCUUCUGGAUAUACAGUCUGUUUAACCCAGAGGUGCCAGAAAAAGUGUGGAUGGUCAACACUGCCUCUGUCACCCAGUCAGCUCCAGACAUUUGACAGAGGCUACUGAAAGUGGAGGGUUUUGCAGGAAUGAAUGCCACCCAACUGCUGGAAGUCACAAGCAAAGUUUACGUUGACCGAUAUCUGCAGGCACAGAUGGAGGCAGAGAAGCGGAUGAAACAGAGUCACCCUCCUGGCAGCAGCUUUCAGCCGGCCAGUCCCACCCAAAGACCAGGUCCCCCUCGUAAAGGGGGGAAGCCCGAGUGCCGCCACCCCCCGCCCCCCUAUCUUGCAGGCUGACCAGUGUGCCUACUGCAAAGAGUUGUGACAUUGGAAAAAUGAGUGCCUCAAGAGAACAGCCCUGAUAGGGCCCCACCCAAAGGGAAGGUGAAGUACCAGCCAGAGCCUAACAAAGCCCACCUGAUUGGCUUGUUUGGCAUGGAUUCAGAGUAGGACAGGCUGGACUCCAUAAAACUUGGCCACGUGAGCCCAUGGUCAAAAUGAAAGUCGGGGGGCCACCUAAUGACUUAUGGUGGACAACGGUGCAGAGUAUUAGGUUGUUACCACCCCGGUCGCCCCAUUUGGCGACAAAAAGGCCUCCAUAAUUGGAGCAACAAGAAAUCAAGUGGAGCCGGGCGCGGUGGCUCAAGCCUGUAAUCCCAGCACUUUGGGAGGCCGAGGCGGGUGGAUCACGAGGUCAAGAGAUUGAGACCAUCCUGGUCAACAUGGUGAAACCCCAUCUCUACUA
ensembl:lincRNA